UUUGAGAUCACCUCCUCCCCAGAAAUCUAAAGUUCAAUGACGUUCCUUCACUGGUAACCAGACCGCACUAAGGAAAGACUCAGAACUGUGCGUAUUCUUCUUAUACGAGUAGUCUGACGUCACCACUGACAAUUCCUGUCCUGGUGAGGGUGGAAGGACCACGUGACUGGAAAUAGUGACAAUCCAGAGAGCAUCUCCUGUACUGAAGACAACAGACACAGAGUGACAUGGAGCAGGGGUCCUGGCCAGCCAAGUAAGGUCUGGGAUGGCCCAUGCUGUAUCUCAGAACGCAGUCAUCAGAGGAUCUGCCAACAGUUUUCAAGGUGAUCCAAUCCACAGACCAUUUCCAGAAAUUAAGAUACUUGGGCCUGCAAAGGCACAUGCCACCAAGCCAGACAACCGGAGUUCAAUCCCGAAGAUCCAUACGGUUGGAGAGAACUGACUCCCCAAAUUGUUCUCUGAUCUCUACAUAUGCACAGUGGUAUGUGUGCGCCCCUCCAUCACACAUACAAAUUGAAUAAAUAAGUAUAAUUUUCAAGGAAA